rnacentral:lncRNA from 1 species
GUCUGAGGUGCCGAUGGUCUAGCUCCUACGUACUCUACCUGAGAUGCGACUCAGAAUACCUCAGCUCUCCUUCCCAAGUGUGGCGGACUUUCUCCAUUUCGCCGCUGUGGUCCCCUUUCCCCCCCAUACUAAACACGCUAGCACUUCAUUUUAAACGUUAUAAUAUUUAAACCAAAAACUUAACACAUACUUAACUAAAAAUCCCUACACUAAUGUCUCGUGGCGCGUCCGCCUAUUCCCGACUCUUCAACUUAAAUUAAUGGGUGGGAAUAAUCAAAAAAAUUAAUAAAUAUAAAUAAUAAAAUAAAUAUAAAUACAAAUACUACAUUUAUAUUACAUUAAUAUGGUCGGUAAAUAUAUAUGGGGUGGCAAAUUAAUUAAAUCUUAAUUAAUAUAGACAGAUAUUAUUUUUUUGUGUUUUUAUAUACGCAUGUAAAUAGGUAUGCGUUUAUGUAUGCAUAGAUUAAUUAUAUUAAUUGUCGGUGGGCUGUGGCGGGUCGCGCCCGAGCAGGGGUGUGACCAGGAUUCCGCGGGCCGGGGAAUGGUAAUUUUGGCCCAUCUACGAGAAGCCAGCCGAUACAAUUUAUGCCCUAUGGAUUUUAAAAAUAUUGAAUCUGGGAUUCAUUUUCCCUUUGG